CCCAGUGGUAGUCAGCUGUCCGGCUCUCCUCAUGCCUGUGAUAGUGUUACACUGCUGGAAGAUAAAAGCGUUGCCACCAUAUGCUGGCUGUUGCCGUCACUGUUCUGGUGCCGUGUGACAGUGGUAUCUGGCAAUGUCAUGCUUCCUCGAGAGUGCGCUAAACAUUAGCUUUGGCUGUUUAGUGCUAGUCUGGAAGUGUACAAC